GAGGCGUAGCGGACUGCGCACGGAGAAGCCUUGAUGAGCCGGCAGAGGACCCGGGUUCGAUUCCCGGCACCUCCACCA
rnacentral:tRNA from 1 species